rnacentral:lncRNA from 1 species
UUCUUGGAGUUUUGGUUUUGCAUCAAAUUGGAGACUUUGGAUUUAUUCUUUCAUUAUUCUACAAUUAAUUACAUGUGUUCUUCAUUUAUGUCAUAUAUUAUUUCAUGAACAUGAUCAGCUAAAUUCCUUAACUAGGGUGGUGGGAACCCUGACGAAUUAGCUAUAUAAGGGAAGUAGGAGAUCUAUCUAAUCUAUUGUGGUUGCGUGUAUUGCAAACUUUUUCAUAUUAAUUUGACCUAAGCUACUACAGAAGUGUAGUGAUUUCCUGUAUUCGAGAACAUCCUCACAAGGAAGUUUGAGAUUAGGAAAAAGAGGUUACAAUAGUUUUGAGGCUAUCAACCCUCGUCUAAUCAAAUUGAGAAUUAAAAGGUGACACUUGUAUUGAGGUUAUAGACAAGGUACAACAAGGUGAAACUCUGAGAUUCACAAGGUAAAGGGUGAAAUCUAUCAAUGUGCUCAUAAGAUGGUUGAUAGUACAUAGCUUGUCAACUUUGCAUACAAAGCAGGAGGUUAGGUGGAUUGAACACGAGAAUCUUAUGUAGUUGUGAAGCCCGGGGGAACACAGUCCUAAUAUUCAUAUUCUAUUUUUUACAAACUCAACCUUCCAAGUUCGGCUCCCUGUUACUAUUGCCUUCACAUUCCCCCAUUUACUUUUCCGCAGUGUUCGUGGAUUUUGUCAAAGUUUAAGAUACUAUUUGAUGUCUUCACUUUGGGAUCGGCCCCAAUCUUAGUUGGGUUACUAUAUUUGGCAUCGACCAUAGCAUACUUUUUGGAGGUUAGUUUUGGGUGAUAUCAUUAAGCAAGAGUUAAAUUUUUUUUUUUACAAAUUUCUCAAGAAAGUUGUCGAUAGAUGUGGUGGUUGAAUUUUCCAGUGGUCGAGAUUACGAUGAUAGCUCGAAGUUCUAUUUUGCUACCCUAAAAAAGGUAAACACACCUCUCACUUUUAGUUUUAUUAUUAAUUUUUUGUCAUAUCUUUCUCCAUAGCAAUAGUUGUGUAGUUAUAGACGUGGUAAUAUUGGGAUUGUUUGUAGUAGAAGGCUUUGAAGCGUAUAGGAUUUUGAUGUGAUAAGUGUUGUGAUGAUUAUGCUUGAAUUUAUUAUUUUUUAUCAAUAAUUUCUUUAUUAAUCAAAAUUGUCAUUACAUACCCGGGUAGAAGUUAACCAUCUACCACCUAUCACCUAUCUUUGAGCUAGUUUAAUUUUACAUAUACUGCUAACUCUACUCAACCUACUCAAAAACUCAAGGGGUAUUAUAGUGGUUCUUCUUUCUAGGAAAAUGAUUCAGCAUCCUCAAGGUGCUUUGCCACGUAGCUGUAUUCCUCCCCUGAAUGUGCAUAUUCAUUCCAAUCUCCUUACAUAUUUUUUCCAAGUUGAGCCGAGCUAUCUAAAACCUCAGUAUGUCUAGAUAUAAUACAAAGUCAUAGAAAAAGCAGGAAAAACUAUCUCAGUAGGUCCAGUCUUUUUCUUAGCUAAUUUACAUAUCCAAUCUAGUUCCUGCAUCCAGGGCAUUAUGCUUCUGUUAAAGCCUAGCCUUUUUACCAAGGUACUCCACAACUGUUUACUAUAGUUACAUUUAAAGAAGAGAUGUCCAAAUGUCUCAUCAGUUUGAUUGCAAAAGGCACACUCUAGUGUUACUUGGAUUCUAAUUUUCUAAAGUGUAUCAACUAUAGUUAAUCUCUUAUUCACUGCUAACCAUAGAUUGAACUUGAACCUGGGAUGGAUGUAUUUUGCAAAGUAAUACUCUUCCAGUCUACUUUUGUGUAUUGUGGUUGCGAACUCGGAUAAUCCUUCCCGACAGAGAAUUUACCACCUUAUACUAUCUUAUCUAGUGUUUCCAUCAAGACCUCCUCGCUCUGCAAAGUAUCACCUUUCUACUAUUAGUUAUCUUCCUCACUACCCAAGCUGUAUUUUUUGGUAUUGGCAUAUUAUUCAGGUUCCUUUGCUUGACAUAAUAGUAGUGCACCCAUUUGAUCCAUAGUGUGUCCUUGUUUUUUGAAAUAGCCCACAGAUGUUUUAAUAUAGCUGCCUUGUUCAACAGCUUCAAAUCACUAACUCCCAGUCCACCUGUUGAGCCUGGUGGACAUAUCUUCUCCCAUGCUAUUAAUGCUUUUUUUGAUAAUUCCUAUUGUCCUAUCCAUAAGAAGGUUCUACAUAUAGCUUCCAGCAUCUUAAUCACUUUCUUAGGCAAUAUGAAUAUCUGUGCCCAGUAACUCUGCAUACCAAAUAGUACUGCUUUUAUAAGUUAAAGCCUACCAGCAUAAGAUAGCAGCCUUGUUGUCCAUCAUAUAAUUUUGGCAGAGAAUUUCUCCACUAGAGGCAUACAUUAUGUAAUUGUCAGCUUCUUUGUAGAUAAUAGAACUCCCAGGUACUUGAAAGGUAAAGUCCCUUAUAAAAAUCCCAAACUCUGUACCAGCCACACUUUAGAUUGUUGCUUAAUCUUACCAUAUAGAUGGAGCUUUUAUUAGCAUUUUCUUCUAGCCCAGAUGCUCUUGAGACCCUUUGAAAUGUUUGUUACAGCAGCAAGAUAGAUUCUUUGUCAGCCCUGUAAAACAUAAACAGGUCAUCUGCAAAACACAUAUGUAUUAAGUUAAAUCUCUUGCAUCUUGGAUGGAAGUGGAACUAUUUCUGUUGUGCUAGUUGUUGCAUUUCUCUAUGAAGGUAUUCCAUGGCUAUUACAAAGAGGUAAGGAGACAUGGGAUCCUCUUGCCUCAUUUCCCUUCUAGCUUGGAAUAAUUUAGUAAGCCCUUCAUUAAGCAUCAAAGAGUAAGACACAGUUGAUACACAUUCCAUAAUCUAAUCUCAACAAGCAUGGCCUUAAGAAAAGGUCAUUUUAAGGUAUCAUAAGAUUUCCUGUGGUACACUUUAAGGACACAUCUAGGUGAUAUAUUUUUCCUAGUAUACCCGUUGAAUAGCUCAUGACUAAGUAGAACAUUAUUUGUGAUAGAUCUUGUUUUAAUAAAGGUAGACAGUGAGCAACCAAUUACACCAUUCAGCACCUAUUUUAUUCUGUUAGCCAGGAUCUUAUCAACUAUUUUGUAGGUGGUGGAACAACAAGUUAUGGUCUAAAUCCCUUAACCUUAUUUGGUGAUGGAACCUUAGGAAUCAGUGUGAUAGUUGUGCAGUUCCAAGCUCUCUUCAUCUUUCCAGUAUAAAAUAAUGUUGCACAGCUGAAUAGACCUCUAUUCUGAUGAUAGACCACUGCUGUUAGAACAAAUCAAUAGGGUACCCAUCCAUCCUUGGGCUUUUUUAUUUAGGCAUAUUUCUAACCACUUGGUGUAUUUCCUCUGAACUCACCAUUUUUACUAGCUAAAUUUGUUGUUCUCUAGUAAGAAAGACACUACUUUGAUCCCUUCUGAGUUUGGAUAUGGCAUUUUAUUAGCACAAUCACCCAUAAGUGCAGUGAAUAUGUCAACAAAUUCAACCUCUACUUCCUGUGAUCCUAUGAGCUUUGUUCCAAUUUCUAUAUAGAUUGAUAAAAUUGUAUUCUAGGCAGACCUGAUCUGGAGCUGAGCAUGAAAAUAUUUUGUAUUAGCAUCACCAUUAUCAAUCCAACAUGCUCUAGAUUUUUGUCUUAAAACUUGCUCCUCUACUAAGCUUCAUUUUUGAAUAUCCUUUAAAAUAGCCUUUUCCUAGUCAAACAAAUCCUGAUUAUUUAAUUGGAUAGUAAUCUGAGCUUAUACUAUUUCCAGUUGUUGUCUAGCCUGGGAAAGAUUUUGAGCAUAAGAAGCCAUGUAAGUGUUGAGGUCCUUCGCUUGUACUUUGAGUUUCUUAUAUCUCUUCUAGAGGAUAGUCAUAGGGUCCCCUCUCAUAUAUCAACUCCAUACUUGUUGCACACUCUGUUGAAACUGAUGAUGUAGAAAUACUAAAGCAUAAAGUCUGAAAGGCUUUAGAUAUACGCAUUCUUUGUGUAUACAUUAGACCAAUAUUAGUGAGUGAUCAGACAUUCUCGAGUUCAAGAAAUACACUUCAGUGUGAAAAAUCUUUAUAUCUAUUCAUAAUUACCAAGCACCCAGUCAAUUCUGCUAUAUACUCUAUUUGCAUCCUGCUUUUGUUGGUUCAAGUAAAGUAACUACCCUUUGAUAUCAAUGGUGUUAGCUGCAGAUUAUCUAUCAACUCUUUAAAUCCUUUGAUCUCAUGGUGUGUUACUGGUUGACCUAUUUUAUCAUCAGUGCUCAGGACAUUGUUAAAGUCACCACAUAAUAGCCAGGGUUCAUAAAUAUUCCCACUAAUACAUUGGAUAUCAGGCCACAAUGAUUCUUUUUGAGACAACUCAUUCUUAGCAUAUACAAUAGUGACAAUAGUUAAGAAAUCUAUCGAUACAUUCUGUACCCUACAAUGCACAUAUUGCUCAUGUACUUGCAAUAUUUGUACAUGAAGGUGUUUUUUCCAAAACAACCAGACUCUGCCAUUUUCACUACGUGGAAAUUUUUUUACAUAAGACCAUUCUUUAUUAAAUUUUAGAAGUACAUCCUUAGCAUUUCUUUCUUUAACUCUUUUUUCUAAACAACCAAAUACAUCUAUUUUAUUCUUUUUUCAUAAAGAGGAUCACCUCUUUCUGCUUAAAGGGAUUAUUUAACCCUCUUACAUUCUAGGUACAGAUAUUUAUGGAGGUUGGUGAGGUACAACCUGGCUUAGUCUUGAGGGACCAGCUCUAUUAUUUUCUAUUUUAUUCAAUACAUCAAAUUUGUUACCUGGAAACUUGCUUUCCAUACCACUCAUAGUAGCCACUUCAGGUUCAGCUAUUCCAGUAUCUUCCUUCACCUUAUUUUGGUCCUUAACGACAGCUUAAUCUUGUCAAACUUUCCUAGUUGGUAUCAUUUUCUUCCUUCUUUUACCUCUUCUUUUUUGUUUAGGGAGUUUCUUAAAUGCCUCCUCUUCUUGCUCUUUCUAUUUAUCUUGAAUAGGUUCUUUAUUCUUUAGCCAGCAUUCCUCAUCUAUGUGUCCAAAUCUAACAUAAUCAGAGCAGAAUUUUAGCUUUCAAUCAUAUUCAAUCCCUUUCUUAAUGGUACCAAAUGGUGUGUGAAUCUCAAUAGAGUCUAGGAGCAGAUAGGAGAUAUCUACUUUGAUCAAUACUUGAGCAUAGAGAUUCUAUUCAUUUCUACAGUGUACCUAUCAGUAUGAAAGGGUCUUCCAAUUACACUAGCCACCUUGCUUAGUGCCUCCACAAUCCAACAACGCACAGGCAUCCCAGGUAAGUUAACCCAUAGGGGAAUUGUGGUGAUGUAUUCAGUGUCAAAAACAAAAUCCAUUACCCAAUGCUUCAAUAUUAAUGUCUUAUUGUGGUAAGUGCAAGGGCCAGCUUGCAUGACUUUUUUUCUAUCCUCAAUCGAUGAAAAUCGAAAUAUAUAAUAGCCGUCCGCAUGGUACAGGAUUUGGGGAUUUUUCACAAAGUUCCACACAGUAGUUACAAAAUUGUCCAUAAACUUCUCAUAAGGAGUAUCACCAAGUACAUAUGAGUGCAGUCGACCAGUGAUUAUCAGUUGCUUGCAUGUCCUCCAUAAUCAACUUAACCACUUUCUUUUGCUCGCAUUAGUUAGGUGGUUGAUAUGUCAGCAUACUACCUUUGUUUGCACCUCUGUUCAUUGGAGAUUUUGGGACCUUUAUUGUCUUUGUUUUUUGUGUAGCUGGAUUUUCAGAUGUCGAGCUCGUUGAAGAACUAACAUCUGAGAUUUAAAGUCUCUGAGGGAGGGUCACUGUUGAG